ensembl:rRNA 5S_rRNA 5S ribosomal RNA
GUCUAUGGCCAUACCACCCUGAACGCACCCAAUCUCGUCUGAACUCGGAAGCUAAGCCGGGUCGGGCCUAGUUAGUACUUGGAUGGGAGACUGCCUGGGAAUACUGGGUGCUGUAGGUU